rnacentral:rRNA from 1 species
AGACCCGAAACCGGGCGACCUACCCAUGAGCAGGAUGAAGCGAAAGUAAAAUUUCGUGGAGGUCCGAACCCACGAGCGUUGAAAAGCUCGGGGAUGGCUUGUGGGUAGCGGUGAAAUUCCAAUCGAGCCCGGAGAUAGCUGGUUCUCCCCGAAAUAGCUUUAGGGCUAGCCUCAAGGUGAGAGAUACGGAGGUAGAGCACUGAAUG